AAAAUAAAGAUGAAAGAUUAUCUAAUCGUUCACUUCACAUCCCUUCCUCACCUUUCCUCUUCAUCUUCUUCCUCAAGGUUCAGAAAUCCCUUAAAAAUGGCGUAACAAUCAUUUCUCCAUCUCUCCGCCGCUAAAAUCACUUUUCACUAUGAAUUCCAUUUUCUCCUCCAUUCAAUUCCGUCUUCUUCCAUCACCAAAUCCACGACAACCACAACAUAAUCUCCACAUCUUCCACCAAAUUUAUCUUCCUCCACAAAUAACCCACCGUUUCAGUUCAAUAAAGACCAAUUCAAUUCUUCCAACUUCUCUAAUUCUUGGAAACAGCACUAUUCCUCCGUCGCAAUCCGGCGACAUUUCAGUCCUCCUCCCGAUAAGCGGCGUGCUACUGAUUGCGUAUUUGCUAGCGAAUUUCAUUUUCCCGGAGUUUAUUAUGAAAUCAUACCGAUCUGAUGAUGAGAACGACGGGAAGGGUGGAGGUGGAAGAUGAAGAGAAUGAAGCGGUAGAAGGAGAUAAUGAAACUUGAAGAUUUAGCCAUAAAUUGAAUUGAAUUUAAGAUUUGUGCGUAAGAAAAUUGGGAUAAUGUGUAUUGGAAUAUUCAGUGAUUUGAUUUUCCGAUUUUGAUCGAAAAGAGAAGUUCUUGUAGUUUAUUUUUGCAAAAUUUCAUACAUAUUUGUGGAAAGGUAGAAUCUAACAAUGAA